rnacentral:rRNA from 1 species
AUUGAACGCUGGCGGCAGGCCUAACACAUGCAAGUCGAGCGGAUGAAGGGAGCUUGCUCCUGGAUUCAGCGGCGGACGGGUGAGUAAUGCCUAGGAAUCUGCCUGGUAGUGGGGGAUAACGUCCGGAAACGGGCGCUAAUACCGCAUACGUCCUGAGGGGGAAAGUGGGGGAUCUUCGGACCUCACGCUAUCAGAUGAGCCAAGGUCGGAUUAGCUAGUUGGUGGGGUAAAGGCCUACCAAGGCGACGAUCCGUAACUGGUCUGAGAGGAUGAUCAGUCACACUGGAACUGAGACACGGUCCAGACUCCUACGGGAGGCAGCAGUGGGGAAUAUUGGACAAUGGGCGAAAGCCUGAUCCAGCCAUGCCGCGUGUGUGAAGAAGGUCUUCGGAUUGUAAAGCACUUUAAGUUGGGAGGAAGGGCAGUAAGUUAAUACCUUGCUGUUUUGACGUUACCAACAGAAUAAGCACCGGCUAACUUCGUG